rnacentral:tRNA from 1 species
UCUAAUAUGGCAGAAUAGUGCAUUGGACUUAAGCCCCAAAUAUAAAGCCCAGGCUUUUUUUAGAA